rnacentral:rRNA from 1 species
ACUUUAAUUGAAGAGUUUGAUCAUGGCUCAGAUUGAACGCUGGCGGCAGGCCUAACACAUGCAAGUCGAGCGGUAACAGGAAUUAGCUUGCUAAUUCGCUGACGAGCGGCGGACGGGU